UACAUAGGGUGCGAGCGUUAAUCGGAAUUACUGGGCGUAAAGCGCGCGUAGGCGGCUUUGCAAGCCGGAUGUGAAAUCCCCGGGCUUAACCUGGGAACUGCAUUCGGGACUGCAUUGCUAGAGUAUGGGAGAGGGAAGUGGAAUUUCAGGUGUAGCGGUGAAAUGCGUAGAUAUCUGAAGGAACAUCAGUGGCGAAAGCGACUUCCUGGACCAAUACUGACGCUCAUGUGCGAAAGCGUGGGGAGCAAACAGG
rnacentral:rRNA from 1 species